AUAUUUACCUGGCAGGGGAGAUACCAUGAUCAUAAAGGUAGUUUCCCCAGGGUGAGGCUCAUCCAUUGCACUCUGGGUGCGCUGAACCCCUACAACUUCCCCAAAUGUGGGAAGCUCUACUGUAUAAUUUGUGGUAAUGGGGGACUGUGUUCACGCUGUCCCCUG